GACGAACGCUGGCGGCGUGCCUAAUACAUGCAAGUCGAGCGGACAGAAGGGAGCUUGCUCCCGGAAGUUAGCGGCGGACGGGUGAGUAACACGUGGGCAACCUACCCUGUAGAUCGGGAUAACAUCGAGAAAUCGGUGCUAAUACCGGAUAAUCAUUUGAAGUGCAUGCUUCGAAUGUAAAAGAUGGCUCCGGCUAUCACUACGGGAUGGGCCCGCGGCGCAUUAGCUAGUUGGUAAGGUAAUGGCUUACCGAGGCAACGAUGCGUAGCCGACCCGAGAGGGUGAUCAGCCACACUGGGACUGAGACACGGCCCAGACUCCUACGGGAGGCAGCAGUAGGGAAUCUUCCGCAAUGGACGAAAGUCUGACGGAGCAACGCCGCGUGAGUGAUGAAGGUUUUCGGAUCGUAAAGCUCUGUUGUUAGGGAAGAACAAGUGCCGUUUGAAUAAGGCGGCACCUUGACGGUACCUAACCAGAAAGCCACGGCUAACUACGUGCCAGCCGCCGCCGUAAGAC
rnacentral:rRNA from 1 species